ACAGGUCUCUCGAAUUGAUAUUUCCAUAUACACGUAGGCAGCCAUAAGCCCAUUAAUUAAGUCCCAAACCCUAGAACUUUUUCACUUUCUCACUUUGUACUCCGCCGCUCUUCACCCUCCUCAUUUCAUUUCUGAUUUUCUUUUUCUCUCUUAGAUUCUCUCUCCUCUCAUCUCGAUCCAUCUUCCUCAUUUUUCUGGUUUCGCAAACGAAUCUCGCACAAAAUAAAAUGAAAUUUACAUCAUUUACUUCUUUCUCAAUCUUCACUCUAUUGUUUCAAAAUUUCAAGAUCUAUAUUGCCAAGGAUAAUAAUAUUUGCGUUUGUAUUUGUGGUUGUACGUAACGAUCUCUCAAUUUUCAAGUUUGAACUGAAGAAAUCUGCAAUAGAAGAUCUGGGAAUUUUAUAGUCAUCAUUUCCGGAAAAAUUUAUUUUUAUUUAUGUAUUGAAAUUUCAUUCAUAUCUGUAAAAUGUACAUAAUUUUUAGAGUGUAUGAAAUACAAGAAUUAUUUUUUUUA